rnacentral:rRNA from 1 species
UACAGGUGGUGCAUGGUUGUCGUCAGCUCGUGUCGUGAGAUGUUGGGUUAAGUCCCGCAACGAGCGCAACCCUUAUUACUAGUUGCCAUCAUUAAGUUGGGCACUCUAGUGAGACUGCCGGUGAUAAACCGGAGGAAGGUGGGGAUGACGUCAAAUCAUCAUGCCCCUUAUGACCUGGGCUACACACGUGCUACAAUGGAUGGUACAACGAGUCGCCAACCCGCGAGGGUGCGCUAAUCUCUUAAAACCAUUCUCAGUUCGGAUUGCAGGCUGCAACUCGCCUGCAUGAAGUCGGAAUCGCUAGUAAUCGCGGA